rnacentral:rRNA from 1 species
GACGAAGGGGGCGAGCGUUGUUCGGAAUCACUGGGCGUAAAGCGCACGUAGGCGGCGACGUAAGUUGGGUGUGAAAUCCCUCGGCCCAACCGAGGAACUGCGCCCAGUACUGCGUUGCUUGAGGAUCCAAGGGGUGCAUGGAAUUCCCGGUGGAGCGGUGAAAUGCGUUGAUAUCGGGAGGAACUCCGGCGGCGAAAGCGGUGCACUGGUGGAUUACUGACGCUGAGGUGCGAAAGCCAGGGGAGCAAACGGG